rnacentral:lncRNA from 1 species
UAAUUCGGUCCAAGACGGUGCCUUUGAGUGUCAGAAUAGGAGAAGAUUCUAGUUUGAAGCAACUUAUCAUCUGAAUAAUAGAUGCCAGGGACAAUGAGGGAAGGGCAGAAGGCUAACUGCUCAUUCUCAGCAAAGAAGUUAUCGAUGUUCUUGUUUAACACCAUUCGACCCACCGGCUGCAAUGGGAAGAUGUCCUCUGGCCAUGUCUUGGUUACAUCAAGUGGGUCAAAAUCAAACCUGUCCUCAUGAAGAGGAUCCAUUAUUUGAAUGAACAGCUUCCAUUCAGGGUAGUUUCCGGCUGCAAUCGAGUCAUAAAGAUCUUGUGUGGCAUGACUGUGAUUCGCGCCACCUACUCUUAUGGCUUCAUCCUCCAACAAAGAUUUUACACCACAAGUGGGUUUCCAAUGGAAUUUCACAUAGUGUGCCUUCCCAGCUUUGUUGAUUAGUGUGUAGGUAUGAACACCAGAGCCAUCCAUGUGCCUAUAAUCCUGUGGAACACCGAUGUCAUCAAACAGGAAGGUGAACAUGUGCAAGCUUUCGGGAUGGUGCGAAAAGAAGUCCAGAAUCCUCCAGUUUUCCUGAAUGUGGGACUUCGGGUUUGGUUUAAGAGCAUGGACCAUAUCAGGGAACUUCAUUCCGUCACGGAUGAAAAACACAGGGAAAUUGUUCCCCACUAGAUCAAAAUUUCCCUGGUUCAAUAACAAGGAAUCCAAAAAAGCAAACAAUUAACUUCACUUCUGAUAUAUGGUAUGUCUAACUCAAAUACAUAAACAUAUGUGAACAUAUAUAUACUUUCUCUGUAUAUGCAGGUAGCAUGUAUAUAGACACAUACCUCUCGUGUGUAAAAUUUCACAGCAAAACCUCGGGGGUCUCUCAAAGUUUCAGGACUACCGCGUUCAUGAAUAACCGUGGAGAAUCUAACAAUGAGAGGGGUCUGCACUCCAGGGGCACGAAGGAAAUCAGCACAUGUGAGCUGAGAUAUAUCAUGAGUGACCUCGA